rnacentral:rRNA from 1 species
CCUACGGGCGGCAGCAGUGAGGAAUAUUGGUCAAUGGACGAGAGUCUGAACCAGCCAAGUAGCGUGAAGGAUGACUGCCCUAUGGGUUGUAAACUUCUUUUAUAUGGGAAUAAAAUGUUCCACGUGUGGGAUUUUGUAUGUACCAUAUGAAUAAGGAUCGGCUAACUCCGUGCCAGCAGCCGCGGUAAUACGGAGGAUCCGAGCGUUAUCCGGAUUUAUUGGGUUUAAAGGGAGCGUAGGUGGAUUGUUAAGUCAGUUGUGAAAGUUUGCGGCUCAACCGUAAAAUUGCAGUUGAAACUGGCAGUCUUGAGUACAGUAGAGGUGGGCGGAAUUCGUGGUGUAGCGGUGAAAUGCUUAGAUAUCACGAAGAACUCCGAUUGCGAAGGCAGUUCACUGGACUGCAACUGACACAGAGGCUCGAAAGUGUGGGUAUCAAACAGGAUUAGAUACCCCAGUAGUC